rnacentral:rRNA from 1 species
GAUGAACGCUGGCGGCGUGCUCAACACAUGCAAGUCGAACGGGAAACCUUUUAUUGAAGCUUCGGCAGAUUUAGAUUGUUUCUAGUGGCGGACGGGUGAGUAACGCGUGGGUAACCUGCCUUAUACAGGGGGAUAACAGUCAGAAAUGACUGCUAAUACCGCAUAAGCGCACAGAGCUGCAUGGCUCGGUGUGAAAAACUCCGGUGGUAUAAGAUGGACCCGCGUUGGAUUAGCUAGUUGGUGAGGUAACGGCCCACCAAGGCGACGAUCCAUAGCCGGCCUGAGAGGGUGAACGGCCACAUUGGGACUGAGACACGGCCCAGACUCCUACGGGAGGCAGCAGUGGGGAAUAUUGCACAAUGGGGGAAACCCUGAUGCAGCGACGCCGCGUGAAGGAAGAAGUAUCUCGGUAUGUAAACUUCUAUCAGCAGGGAAGAAAAUGACGGU